UACGUAGGGAGCGAGCGUUGUCCGGAUUUACUGGGUGUAAAGGGUGCGUAGGCGGGUACGCAAGUCAGGCGUGAAAUACCGGGGCUCAACUCCGGGGCUGCGCUUGAAACUGUGAAUCUUGAGUGAAGUAGAGGCAGGCGGAAUUCCUAGUGUAGCGGUGAAAUGCGUAGAUAUUAGGAGGAACACCAGUGGCGAAGGCGGCCUGCUGGGCUUUAACUGACGCUGAAGCACGAAAGCAUGGGGAGCAAAC
rnacentral:rRNA from 1 species